rnacentral:rRNA from 1 species
AUUGAACGCUGGCGGCAUGCCUUACACAUGCAAGUCGAACGGUAACAGGUUAAGCUGACGAGUGGCGAACGGGUGAGUAAUGUAUCGGAACGUGCCCAGUCGUGGGGGAUAACUGCUCGAAAGAGCAGCUAAUACCGCAUACGACCUGAGGGUGAAAGCGGGGGAUCGCAAGACCUCGCGCAAUUGGAGCGGCCGAUAUCAGACUAGGUAGUUGGUGGGGUAAAGGGUUACCAAGCCGACGAUCUGGAGCGGGUCUGAGCGGACGACCAGCCACAAUGGGACGGGUACACAGCCCAGACUCCUAGGGGAGGCAGCAGUGGGGCAUUUGGGACAAUGGAGGCAAGUCAGACCCAGCCAUGCCGCGUGCGGGAAGAAGGCCUUCGGGUUGUAAACCGCUUUUGUCAGGGAAGAAGCGGCUCCUUCUAAUACAGGGGGCUAAUGACGGUACCUGAAGAAUAAGCACCGGCUAACUACGUGCCAGCCGCCGCCGUAACAC